rnacentral:rRNA from 1 species
GACGAACCGUGCGAACGUUAUUCGGAAUCACUGGGCUUAAAGCGCGUGUAGGCGGGUGGGAACGUCGGCCACUGAAAGCCCCCGGCUCAACCGGGGAAGGGGUGCCGAACGGCCCGCCUGGAGGGGCGUAGGGGGACCUGGAACUUCCGGUGGAGCGGUGAAAUGCGUUGAGAUCGGAAGGAACGCCCGUGGCGAAAGCGAGGUCCUGGACGUCAGUCUGACGCUGAGACGCGAAAGCUAGGGGAGCGAAC